AUAAUUUUGAUAAUUUAAAAAAAAAAAUUGUGAUAAUAUCCAAAAGUAAUGCCUAACCUAGGUAUUGGUGAUUGGCCAACCGCAAAAAUAAGUACCUAAUGCUUAUUUUUUUCUUAAACUGACAGCUUGUUACCCCCAAAAUAAUUGAUUAUUAUUCGUAUUCGUGGAUAAGGGGUCAGGUUCAAUGCUCAAAGUCACUACGGCGUAUAUAUGUAUAUUACGUGUGUUGAUUUGUAUAUUUAAUACUUAGUAUACCAAGAGAUAAUUUUUUGUUGAGUUCUACGUAUAAUAUUGUACGUAGAAUUUGUUAUCUAUGAUUUGGGACGUGAGUAUCAUCGUAUGCUUUCAAAAUCCCUAGGUACAUCAGUAGCGAGAGUACAUAUACAGUCAAUUCGCCAACCGAAUGUAAUUUAUUAUUGUUUUUACCGAAUGUCUUGAAAGGUUUUUUGAAGGGGUCUUACAGUAUAAUAAAAUAUGAAUAACAAAGGUGUUGUCUGGUGCCACUGAUAAUUGAUUGGAUUGUUUUUACUAAACGUUUAAUCGGGGAGAUGUAGAAUAUUAUAUAUCAACUGACUCCAUACGAACCUUCGCUAUUAGUUAUUCUGUGUUUUUAUUUAAGUAUAGAAAUGUAAUAUAUUACAUUAUUUAAAAACACAUGAUGUAUAAUUAAAAAAAGUUGCAGUUGCAUGGGUAAUUAUCAUAAUUUAAAGUUUAAAGGGCUAUGCAAUAUAUUAUGCGCAUUGUAUCGCGUGACAAUAAUAUCAUUAUACUUUUGAAACUAUAACCGUAGUCACGCAUACGUAUGAUUAUUAAAUUGGUCAGUCGAGGAGCCACCUGCUAUAAUAUUAAAUUACAUUAUUUUGUUAUCCUAGUCCUUCUCAUACAGUUGGCAGAUACCAGCAGUUUGCAUGCAGUCGGCAAGCAGUAGGUAUACCUACGUAUUUUAUGUAAAUAUUUUUUUUUUUAAAAAUGCAUAGUUAUUUAUGUAUUAUAACUUUUGGUUGAAGACGUUCAAUGAUUAUCCACUGGAUACAGUGCCUUCAAGAAGUAGGUACUGAUGGAGAUAAUUAUACUUAUACACAUAACACAAGAAUCACCGUUCAAAUUCACAUCAAAUGUUACUCAACUAGUGAAUAAGAACCGACCAGGCUGUUGACGAAAACGAGUCGUUGCUCCAUCAUCUAUCCCCAUUACGGCUGCCUCAACAAAUAUUCACUAUUGUCAAAUAAUUAAUGAAUUGGCCACCAAGUGGUCUGGCAACUACAAUAUAGUUGUAACAUAAGAAAUUUCUAUUAAAUAUUCAAAUCAAUAGUGAAUAUUGUGUAGCUAUGUGAAUUUGUAGGAAAAUGCGUUCUUUUUUGCUUAUUUUAAAACGCAACUUUCCUUAUAAAAAUUUUGAAUAAAAUACAA